UCAGAAGAAAUAAGAAGAGAAAAACUUCUCUCUCUCUCCAUCUAAAUUCUCUCUCAAUUUCCUCUCCAAUUUCCUCUCAAUUUAUAACAAAUGGUUCAUAUUAUUGUGUGAUCGAGUCAGUGUAAUUUGGUUUUCUUUUGUACAUUUUUUCUUUUUUGGGGUAUCAAUAGCCCAAAGGUUUUUGGGUUUGGGUUGAUUUUGAGCCCUAAAUCCAAAAAUCCAAUCACCAAAACCCCCAAAAAGGGCCAGACUCCUCUUCAUCCCUGGAUAUAUUUGCAGUCGGGGAACCGCAACCAUUCUUCAGGAAGAGCAAGAACCAUGUCUCACUUUGGUAGGUCUGGCCCUCCUGACAUCGCUGACACUUACUCUCUCCUGGUCCUCAACAUAACCUUCCGUACGAGCGCUGAUGAUCUGUUUCCGCUUUUCGAUAAGUAUGGCAAAGUUGUCGACAUUUUCAUCCCCAGAGACCGAAGGACUGGCGAGUCUAGGGGUUUUGCUUUUGUGCGAUACAAAUAUGCUGAUGAAGCACAGAAAGCGGUUGAAAGGCUCGAUGGAAAAGUUGUUGAUGGUCGAGAGAUAACUGUUCAGUUUGCAAAAUAUGGGCCAAAUGCGGAGAGGAUUCAGAAAGGAAGGAUUACUGAAGCUCUACCAAAAUCAAGGUACAGGUCAAGAAGUCGCAGUCCUCGGAGAAGGUACCGGGAUGACUACAGAGACCGUGACUACAGGAGGAGAAGUCGCAGUAGGAGUUGGGAUAGGUCUGACCGUGACAGAUACCAUGGGAGGGACAGAGACUAUCGUCGACGAAGCAGGAGCCGCAGUGCCAGCCCUGAUUACUAUAGGAGCAGGAGAAGAGUUCGCUAUGAUGAUGAAAGGCGGAGUCGAAGUAGGAGUCCAAUUCGAAGUCGUUCCAUUGAUAGUGUCUCCCCUGCUCGGCGUAGCCCUAGUCCUCAUAAGAGUCCUUCCCCACUAAUCAGGAGCCGCAGUGCCACCCCUGAUAGACGUAGUCAUGAUGGACAUUCCCCUACUUCUCGAAUUGUUUCACCACGCCAUCGUCUUGCUGAUUCUCGUACCCCAUCCCCUCGAAAUUCAGAUGUUGAUGAUUGAUGUUUCUGGUUGUAUGGAAAUGAUGGAAGCACCCUGAGUUGUGUACUUCUUGCAGCUCUGCUGAUGUCAGGGAUCUUUGAUCAUAAUGUGUUGUUUUAGUAGGUGUCUUGAGUGCUAGUUUUGUUAUGUUCGUGAAAAGAGUGAUUGAGGCUUGGAUAAGAGGAUGUUGAUUUGUAGCCGUGGGUGCUGUUUCUAAUUUGUAGAUGGAUGGUCGUGAUUGUGGUGCUGGUUGCAGCAGUAUGCUGGUUUUAGAAGUAUGAUUGUUUUGGCAGUGAGAGCUGUUUGCAGGGCCAAUAACUUAAUCUGUUUUUCUCCAUACCGAAUAAAUGUUGGUAAGAAAUAUGGUUUGGCUCUUUGUUUCUGAAAAGUGUUAUAUACUCUAGGAUUUUAAUGUUUUACCUGAUAGUCCAUGAAAGGAGUUUUUAGUUGCUGUGGUGGCUGUAAGUGGGUCUUAACCUGUGUGUAGCUCAUGCUGCAUAUGAGAUUGAUGUGUAGUUCGUUAUGAACCUGAAUGGUUUGUAAUUGCUGUGAUGGUAGAAGUUGAACUGGUCUUUACCUGUAGCUGAUGCUGCACAUAAGUGAUUCAUUAACCCGGAUGCGGAUACCAGGCAUGAACUGUGGAUACUAACUAUGAAACCUUGUAUGCUGGGCUCAACUAUAUGCAGCCACAGUAAUGAGAAAUGGUAACAAAGUUUACAUUUAAUUUCUUCAGGGUAUUUAAGACUACUAUGUUUAGUCCCAACCUGUUUAAAAUUGUAUAAACCUUUGUGAUGAAUUUACAUAGAUCUUGUCUCACACAAGUUCGAGGCUCUAGCUGUGAAGUGGCAGCUGAUCUGUAUUUUGUUGUAUCGUAAUAAUUUUUUGGGUGACUGAAGCUCUAGUGAAUAACCACCUGCAGCUUGCAGCUUGCUGUUGCUGCUAUUUUACGAUGGGGUUCGGGUAGGCUAUUACCAGUUGGGGCCUUGACAAUGGCUGAUUGGCGUGUGCUGAUACCGAAAGAUUUGUUUUGUUAUGCCUGUAACAUGGAUUGACAGUUGCCGGUCCUAUGUUUCGAAUUAGUCACCCCUCCAUUAAAAGUGGCAAAAUAUGUACAUUGACAACGCCUGAUCUGACACACAAACUAUUUUGCUUUUUCUCAUAUAUAUAAUGAUCCUUCAUUAGUCUUUCAUUCCUUUCUAA